rnacentral:misc_RNA from 1 species
CUUUUCUUCAAUCAAAUCAUAGUAACAAGCUUCAUAUUUUAAGAUACAAACCUCCUCAACAUGUUCCUUCAAAAGUUAAAAAUCUAGGAAGUACCGCUUUUCGCAAGCUGCUGCUCACACCAUUACCAGACCAAUUACUCUCUCCAUUCUAGGGUUCAUCAAUUCCCGAUAAGUUGCUUGUUCUUGGUGGGAGACUCCGAAAUGCG